rnacentral:lncRNA from 1 species
ACCGGUCCCAGAACACAUAAAAGUUCAGUAAAAUAAUUUUAAAACAAUCUAAGCCUUCUGAACUUAUUAGAAUUAAACAUCUUCACCAUAAAUCAUCUAUUCUUCAUACCUGAGAUGCCGAGCUUUCCGAAUGAGUCUUUGUUCUUCAAUUUGGAUCUUUUCUUCAAAUUUCUGCAAUCAACUCUUCAAGACUCCAUUCAACUUUACGAAAUCCGCCAACCUAUAAAAUCCUUAACAGAAAGUACUACCCAUCGGUGUGGGAAAAAUAAUGAAGAGUUAGAGAUAGGUACAAAUAGAAUUUGGAAUACAUUAUAGCUGAGUUAAGAAAUAGGAAAUAGAAGGAAAGUCACGAUAAC